rnacentral:snoRNA from 1 species
CUGUGGUCACUUGAAAAGAAUGUAUAUUCUGAAGUGAGGGGGACCAGGUUUGCUGAAGUAAUUGCAGUGAUAGAAACAUAUUAGUUUCAAAUACUUAUUGAGAUUGUCUACUAAGGAUGUAUGUUC